AACACUCAACUUCAUCGAAAUUAAAGUUGCUUUUAGUACUCUUUGACAAGCCCAAGUGAUUUGCGGACAUGAUGGUGGUAAUGUUGUCAGUAGAUAGUUGUUUGCUAGUAUAUUUUGUGUUACUGCUGCUGAUAUGUAUAUCUAAUAUUAAUGGUAAGUUGUGUGAAUUAUUUCAUUACUUGUGCAAGAUUUUACAUUUCUGUUCUAUCAUUUGCCAUCAUUCUAAACUUUUCUGCAUCACUUAAAGAUGUACUACAGGGCUUGAGGUAAACAAAAUAUCAAAAUUUUAAUUUCACAUUUUAACAGUUUAAUUUAUAUAUUUAAGUAACUUAAAAUGAAAGUUAGAAUCCUAUCAAUUCUAGACAGUUAAUAAAACUGUAUUCUUUGAACAUUGAUCUUUAAAUUGGCUGAUAAUCAAUAACAACCCUAGCUCUGUAUUUGUUUUGGGUGUUUCUCUGUGAUACAGAAUAAUGUAAUGAUGCGUAGGUGACUUGUUAUCUUAUCUAAUUGUUGUUAAUUUGAAUGCGGGAAGAAUCCACAUCAACUCUCGACAGUUAAAUAAAGAGUAUUCUUUAAACAUUGAUUUUAAAUUGGCUGAUAACAGUAGCAGGUCUAGCUCUGUAUUUAUUUUGUGUGUGUUUUUUGUGAUACAGAAUAAUGUUUAUGCUUGCUAUCAUAUAAUAGAUUGUUAGUGUAUAAUGUUAUAGCUAUCUUAUUUUGAUUGCAGUUAGUGUAUAUAAUGUUAUAGGGUCCACAUCUAUAGCACUUCUGUAGACAUAAUGAUAUAUUGCAGAGUUCAAAAUAAGAAAUUAAAAGAACAGGGCUUAAGCUGGCACCAUGUGAAAUAGG